CCCAGCACCAGCGCUGCCUGCACCGCUGCUGGCUGAUAACAAUGGCCUCAGAUUUCUUUAUUUUUUAGCCUCUGUCGCUCACACACCCAGCCACCCAGCCAGUCAGACGGCUUCUGAGGAACAGAAAAAAAGAUAAAGAAAAAAGAAAAGGGUCCCAUAGUGGAAAGAAGGAGACUGACAUAAAGGUGCAGACAAGGUCUUUUUAAAGUCUGCGUCCUUCCCUGUGUUUGGACUUUAACGCACAUGGGGGGAAGACGGGAGCAAAGUGCAGCGACAUUUGAAGUAGGCUAAAAGAAAAAGCAAGAGUGACAAGAAAACCCAGAAGGAAAGAGACACGGAGCACUUCAGACAUGUAGGUCACUGAGGAUGACACAAAGGAAUUUCCUCCGACUGCUGGAUUUAAAAUCAUACUUUGCCCACAGUGUACCGUGUGGAAACACUGUUGCUUCACGCAUGAAGAAUGGAGAACAAUUUGUAAUGUGUGUUCCUCUAUGUGAUCUGAAGGAAAAUAACGUAAAGCAUUUCUACAAGUGUGGCCUACUGUGUGCUGCUGUUAGCGCUAGUUUCAUUGCCAUUACUGUCAUUAUUAGGCUGCUGGUAGUGUUAGCAUUAGUGUCAUUAUUGCCGUUACAAAGUGCUGUUUUAGUAACUGUCUUCAUCAAAUGAUGAACCGACCCUGGUGCGUUUCCUGUUGCGGCUAUAACCCGCGGCCACCACAAUGCCCUUCACACCUCUCAUAAUGUUUCAUUAGCACGUGUCACACAUGAUAUUACACCACUCACACACACGUACACUCACACACACACACAUGCACGUAACAUUUCGCACACAUUCAGCUGAUCCUUUCAACAAAUUACAGUCUAUUUUUAAAUUAAACUAGGCUAAUUAUGUAAAGUAAAUCGUUUAUUAAUGUAACAAAAUCACCGGUAUCCUCAAACACUUCACACAUAAUUUAUGCGUUCACAUUAUAUUUGCAUUUUGUCUGCACUGUUUAUGCAAACAGUGAAAUUCCAACGACACUGCGUAUACAUUUAGAUAAUAAUAAUAAUAGGCCCAAUAAUAAUAAUAAUAGGCCCAAUAAUAAUAAUAAUAGGCCUAAUAAUAGGCCUAAUAAUAAUAAUAAUAAUUGGCAUAAUAAUAAUAAUAAUAAAUGCAUGACAAAUGUGGCAGGGCUAAAAAGCAGUGCAAAAAACAGACUGUCUUAAAUACUUUUUCAAAGAAAACCAAAUGAUCACUGCCCAUGGUUUUUGAGACAGGCUGUGUGGCGUUUUCAGCAGAUUUAAUAGUCUGAACUUAAAGAAUUCAGCAUAAAGUCACAGAACUCGCCUCACGUGCAGCUAGCCUAGGAGUGUUGUAAAAGAAAUCGCCACAUUCUCUCCGGUCUGAUAACGUGUCGAUGGAUUAGGCCACACUAGCACGGACUUGAAGCCUCUUUCUAACGCUGCAUAUCACAAUAAAUAAAGUCAAACGGGACUUACCGAAAGAUUUCUUCUUAUUUUCUGAUGUUUUGAAGGGAAAAAACGGCUUCCAGAAAGCUCCUAGGAACUGCAGGAUAAAGGGCGGGGGAAAGGGGGAGAUAGAGGGAGGGAAAAAGAUAGGGAAGAAAGAGAUCGAGAUAUGUAAUCAAAAGGUCUUGGUAAAAUCCGAUACAGAGCACAGACCUCUUGUAGUCUAAUCGAACGUUUGGGACAGGAGCCACCGCUGACAGCUAGCCUACUGCUUAAAUUAAUCCCGGAGAAAAAUCCCGGAAUAAAAGCAAGAAGAGCAGAGAGAGGGAUGAAGGCUGGCUGAGAGCGACCAGAGAUCUUAUUGAUUCUGGUUAUCCUAUUACACAUCCUAUUAUAUUUUGCAUGUGUUUCCUGUGUUUUAACACGGGGGAAAUCUCUGAUCUGAGUUGCCUGCCGUUGGGAAAGUCUUUAACAUUUAACAGCUCCAUCCCAUCAGUAAUGCAUUUGAUGUCGGAAUGGAGGGAUAAAAAUGAUCUAUAAAAAAUGAAACAGUACUGUGGAAUUAGCUCAUGGAAUAAUACAAUAAUGUUUGAGGGUGUAAUUCUAAAUAUAUAUAUAUAUAAAAGAGAUUAAAUAAUGAUAACUAAUUAAAAUAAAAAAAUAGCCUGUUUACUUGAUCAGCCGUAAUUAGGAAAUAGCCUAAUAGCUGGAACCUGAUGUGAGAACAUUAAUAUAUAAAUUCAUGCAUUAAUAGGCCUACACCAAGCACAAACAGCUAGAAAAAAAAAAUGUCAAUGAAUGUCUAAAAUAGAAAAACAACAUGCAUGGGAUAAGUCAAAAUCCUGAUUCCGAUUACUUUUAAUAUAUCAAAUAUAUAUGCUAUAUAAUUUAAAUCCUGUGUGAAACCCCUUAACGUUACAUACACACACGCAAAUCAGCUCUGCAUUAAUAGGCUACUGGACGAAUCCAUAACAAUCACAGUAAGAAUGUCUUCUAAAACAAACGGCCCGACAAGAAAAUAAAUGAGAAGCACAGGAAAAGGAGAAGCGGCCCCAUAAGGCGAACAGCUGUUUCCCAGCGGCUCUGCAUCCACGCAGGCCAUAAAUAACUUCAGCAUCACUCCGAGAGAACACUAACAUCCCCGGCAACAUUUAAUGUUAUUGCCGGCUAUCCUCAUGUGGGCUGAGCACCCAGAGCAGGAGAACGCAUCCCGGCCGGCCAGACAGACUCUCGUCGAUAUGCAUUCAUCCACUGCUGCAUGCGGUAGUAAACAUUCUUUAAAGGUGUUUAAUUGUUUAAUGGCAUCCACUACGGCAGGAUGAAAAGCGCUCUCCGUGUUGUUGCAAAGAGGCUGUUCUAUAUUAUUAAAGUGCUGGAAUAAAAGCUCUGGGCUGCGCUGCUUCUGUUUCUGCUCCUGACAGCCUCCCCCAAACACAUAAAUCAAAAGCAAGGAUCCACCGACCUCCCCGUACCAGCCUACACCACCACCACCACCACCACCACCUCCACUACUACUUCUACUACUACUAUAAAUUAUUUAUUGUUUUCGUCCAUGCACUCACGCGCAGCUCUGGCUGCCGUCCAUCCCCGUCGCAGCAACAGCCGGGGUUUCCUCCCUGUGUCCCCCCCUCAGCCCCGCGGGUGAGUCGGAAGUUUGGAGCUACGGAGCAGGAGUGGACUAGUCUAAAGUUGCCCAGAAAGUGAUGCAGGGCCUGACUAGCUUAGCCAGCUAGCCUAUAGGCCGAGACAAAGGGAGGAGGCCGCCUCCAGAGCCCCAGAACAGCUGAUGAGCCAAAUUUUGAGUGGAAGAGGAGGCUGGGGCAGAGAGGGGGACUUUCAGAUGAAAUCAGUGCUCCUCAUGGAGCCGCACGAUCCUGAAUCCAAAUGAAACAAUGUAGAUGAGUGUUUUUCUCAGGUUGGAUGAAGUGAAAGUUUGAAAUUAAGGAUGGAGCAACUGCAUAAAAAGCUCAUGGAGGCAACAAAGGGUCUGUCUGUCUGUGCAUAAUCUUAAUGAAAUAUUUAUAAAAAUGUAUAGAAUAGAAAAGUGAUUGAGCUUUAGUAUACUGGGGGAUGAUGGG